UGGCAUCUACACAUGCAGUCGAGCGGAUGAAGGGAGCUUGUUCUUGGAUUCGGCGGCGGACGGGUGAGUAAUGCAUGGGAGUCUGCCUGGUAGUGGGGGAUAACGUCCGGAAACGGGCGCUAAUACCGCAUACGUCCUGAGGGAGAAAGUGGGGGAUCUUCGGACCUCACGCUAUCCGAUGAGCCUACGUCGGAUUAACUAGUUGGUGGGGUAAGGCCUACCCAGGCGACCAUCCAUACCUGGUUGGACAGGAUGAACGACCACACUGGAACUGACACACAGUCCAUACUCAUACGGGAGGCAGCAGUGGGGAAUAUUGGACAAUGGGCGAAAGCCUGAUCCAGCCAUGCCGCGUGUGUGAAGAAGGUCUUCGGAUUGUAAAGCACUUUAAGUUGGGAGGAAGGGCAGUAAGUUAAUACCUUGCUGUUUUGACGUUACCUACAGAAUAAGCACCGGCUAACUUCGUGCCAGCAGCCGCGGUAAUACAAAGGGUGCAAGCGUUAAUCGGAAUUACUGACUGGUAAAGCGCGCGCAGGUGGUUCAGCAAGUUAGAUGUGAAAUCCCCGGGCUCAACCUGGGAACUGCAUCAUAAACUACUGAGCUAGAGUACGGUAGAGGGUGGUGGAAUUUCCUGUGUAGCGGUGAAAUGCGUAGAUAUAGGUAAGGAACACCAGCUGGCGAAGGCGACCACCUGGACUGAUACUGACACUGAGGUGCGAAAGCGUGGUGAGCAAACAGGAUUAGAUACCCUGGUAGUCCACGCCGUAAACGAUGUCGACUAGCCGUUGGGAUCCUUGAGAUCUUAGUGGCGCAGCUAACGCGAUAAGUCGACCGCCUGGGGAGUACGGCCGCAAGGUUAAAACUCAAAUGAAUUGACGGGGGCCCGCACAAGCGGUGGAGCAUGUGGUUUAAUUCGAAGCAACGCGAAGAACCUUACCUGGCCUUGACAUGCUGAGAACUUUCCAGAGAUGGAUUGGUGCCUUCGGGAACUCAGACACAGGUGCUGCAUGGCUGUCGUCAGCUCGUGUCGUGAGAUGUUGGGUUAAGUCCCGUAACGAGCGCAACCCUUGUCCUUAGUUACCAGCACCUCGGGUGGGCACUCUAAGGAGACUGCCGGUGACAAACCGGAGGAAGGUGGGGAUGACGUCAAGUCAUCAUGGCCCUUACGGCCAGGGCUACACACGUGCUACAAUGGUCGGUACAAAGGGUUGCCAAGCCGCGAGGUGGAGCUAAUCCCAUAAAACCGAUCGUAGUCCGGAUCGCAGUCUGCAACUCGACUGCGUGAAGUCGGAAUCGCUAGUAAUCGUGAAUCAGUAAUGUCACGGUGAAUACGUUCCCGGGCCUUGUACACACCGCCCGUCACACCAUGGGAGUGGGUUGCUCCAGAAGUAGCUAGUCUAACCGCAAGGGGGA
rnacentral:rRNA from 1 species